GUUGCAAGUGAUGAUAAAAAGACAGGGACAUCAGAUGUUCAAUGUCUUUGGAUUAAUGAUUGACCAAGUCUAUAAUGGGAAUCUCUCUGAUGCAAU
rfam:Helianthus annuus linkage group 17, whole genome shotgun sequence.